rnacentral:rRNA from 1 species
UGGCAGUCAGAGGCGAUGAAGGGCGUGCUAAUCUGCGAUAAGCGCCGGUAAGGUGAUAUGAACCGUUAUAACCGGCGAUACCCGAAUGGGGAAACCCAGUGUGACUCGUCACACUAUCAUUAACUGAAUCCAUAGGUUAAUGAGGCGAACCGGGGGAACUGAAACAUCUAAGUACCCCGAGGAAAAGAAAUCAACCGAGAUUCCCCCAGUAGCGGCGAGCGAACGGGGAGGAGCCCAGAGCCUGAAUCAGCAUGUGUGUUAGUGGAAGCGUCUGGAAAGGCGCGCGAUACAGGGUGACAGCCCCGUACACAAAAGCGCAUGUGCUGUGAGCUCGAUGAGUAGGGCGGGACACGUGGUAUCCUGUCUGAAUAUGGGGGGACCAUCCUCCAAGGCUAAAUACUCCUGACUGACCGAUAGUGAACCAGUACCGUGAGGGAAAGGCGAAAAGAACCCCGGCGAGGGGAGUGAAAAAGAACCUGAAACCGUGUACGUACAAGCAGUGGGAGCACCCUUUGGGGUGUGACUGCGUACCUUUUGUAUAAUGGGUCAGCGACUUAUAUUCUGUAGCAAGGUUAACCGAAUAGGGGAGCCGGAGGGAAACCGAGUCUUAAUUGGGCGUUAAGUUGCAGGGUAUAGACCCGAAACCCGGUGAUCUAGCCAUGGGCAGGUUGAAGGUUGGGUAACACUAACUGGAGGACCGAACCGACUAAUGUUGAAAAAUUAGCGGAUGACCUGUGGCUGGGGGUGAAAGGCCAAUCAAACCGGGAGAUAGCUGGUUCUCCCCGAAAGCUAUUUAGGUAGCGCCUCGUGAAUUCAUCUCCGGGGGUAGAGCACUGUUUCGGCUAGGGGGCCAUCCCGGCUUACCAACCCGAUGCAAACUGCGAAUACCGGAGAAUGUUAUCACGGGAGACACACGGCGGGUGCUAACGUCCGUCGUGAAGAGGGAAACAACCCAGACCGCCAGCUAAGGUCCCAAAGUCAUGGUUAAGUGGGAAACGAUGUGGGAAGGCCCAGACAGCCAGGAUGUUGGCUUAGAAGCAGCCAUCAUUUAAAGAAAGCGUAAUAGCUCACUGGUCGAGUCGGCCUGCGCGGAAGAUGUAACGGGGCUAAACCAUGCACCGAAGCUGCGGCAGCGACACUAUGUGUUGUUGGGUAGGGGAGCGUUCUGUAAGCCUGCGAAGGUGGCCUGUGAGGGUUGCUGGAGGUAUCAGAAGUGCGAAUGCUGACAUAAGUAACGAUAAAGCGGGUGAAAAGCCCGCUCGCCGGAAGACCAAGGGUUCCUGUCCAACGUUAAUCGGGGCAGGGUGAGUCGACCCCUAAGGCGAGGCCGAAAGGCGUAGUCGAUGGGAAACGGGUUAAUAUUCCCGUACUUGGUGUUACUGCGAAGGGGGGACGGAGAAGGCUAUGUUGGCCGGGCGACGGUUGUCCCGGUUUAAGCGUGUAGGUGUGUGUUCCAGGUAAAUCCGGUU